rnacentral:rRNA from 1 species
AUGGCGGUGACCAUGACGAGCGUUUCCACCGGCGUGAUGUACUCCCUCCUCGGGAAGCUCGCAACGCUGAUGGGGAAUGAGCAUCGCAAGAUCAAAGGCGUCCGGAACAAGGUAGCGUCCCUUCUGGACGAGUUCAGUAGCAUGAGUGCUCUGCUUGUGAAGCUCGCAGGCAUGGAUGAGCUUGACGUUCAGGCGAGGGAGUGGAGGGACCAGGUCCGGGAGAUGUCAUACGACAUCGAAGACUGCGUCGACGAUUUCAUGCGUGACCUUGGACAAAAAGGCGCAACCACUGGAUUUCUGAAGAAGACUGCCGAACGCCUGAAGAAGCUCAGGGUGCGCCAUCAAAUGGCCACCAUGAUCCGUAGGAUCGAGACUCGUGUAAGUGAAGUGCAUGACCGGCGCACGAGGUACAAAAUUGAUGAGUACACUCCAUAA